GACGAACGCUGGCGGCGUGCCUAAUACAUGCAAGUAGAACGCUGAAGGAGGAGCUUGCUUCUCUGGAUGAGUUGCGAACGGGUGAGUAACGCGUAGGUAACCUGCCUGGUAGCGGGGGAUAACUAUUGGAAACGAUAGCUAAUACCGCAUAAGAGUAGAUGUCGCAUGACAUUUGCUUAAAAGGUGCAAUUGCAUCACUACCAGAUGGACCUGCGUUGUAUUAGCUAGUUGGUGAGGUAACGGCUCACCAAGGCAACGAUACAUAGCCGACCUGAGAGGGGGAUCGGCCAACCUGGGACUGGGACACGGGCCAGGCUCCUACGGGAGGCAGCCGUAGGGCAUCUUCGGCCAUGGACGGAAGUCUGACCGGGCAACGUCGCGUGAGUGGAGAAGGUUUUCGGAUCGUAAAGCUCUGUUGUAAGGGAAGAACGAGUGUGAGAGUGGAAAGUUCACACUGUGACGGUAUCUUACCAGAAAGGGACGGCUAACUACGUG
rnacentral:rRNA from 1 species